AUGGCGCUCCAUCUCGCGCGACCGUUCCUGCCCGCCGGCCUCCCGCCGCCGGCGCGCCGCCGCGCUCGUGCCCGGGCGCAUCCCCUCUCCCCCACCGCCGACGCGCGGUCCCCGUCCUUCAGGAGGCCCUACACGUCCGUCCUGGUGGUGCCCACGGGGGUCGGCGCCGCGGUCGGGGGCUUCGCCGGCGACGCCCUCCCCGUGGCACGCGCCCUCGCCGCCGUCGCCGACUGCGUCAUCUCCCAUCCCAACGUGCUCAACGCCGCGAUGCUGUACUGGCCGAUGCAGAAUACGCUUUACGUCGAGGGAUACGCCCUCGACAGGUUCGCCGAAGGCGCCUGGGCUCUUCAGCCAGUCCACCAGAACAAGGUAGGCUUGGUGUUGGACUCCGGGAUCGAGGAGGAGCUCCGGCUCCGCCAUUUGCAGGUCGCCGAUGCGGCGAGGGCUUCGCUCGGCCUCCCUGUUGUGGAGUACGCUGUCACGGAUGCUCCUUUAGAGAUCAAGACCUGGUUCGAUCCGAAGUGUGGGAAAUCAACCGGGAGUGUCGGGAACUCCGAUUCCCUGUUAAGAGCGGUCGACGCGCUAGUGAACCAGGCAGGCGUGAAUGCUGUGGCUGUUGUCGCGCGCUUCCCAGACGACGACCCUGAAGAUUCAGAUUGCUAUAGGGAAGGAAAGGGAGUUGAUCUGUUAGCCGGAGUUGAAGCAAUCAUCAGUCACCUAAUUGUGAAAGAAUUCAAAAUCCCUGCUGCUCACGCUCCUGCGGUGUUGCCCCUGCCACUCAGCCCAUCAGUGUCCCCACGAUCUGCUGCUGAAGAGAUUGGUUAUACCUUUCUACCAUGUGUGCUCGCUGGUUUAAGCACCGCUCCUCAGUAUGUGACGAGGAGGCAGGGUACCUUGGACAGUGGUUGCAUAGUGGCUAGUGAUGUUGAUAGUGUGAUUCUUCCAAGAGAUGCCUGUGGAGGUGAUGGUGCUCUUGCCUUUUCUCGAACUGCAAGAAAGAACAAGCCCUUAAUCAUUACCGUUCAGGAAAAUGAGACGGUGCUCGAUGACACCCCUGAUAAAUUCAAUAUUGAAGCGCUGAAUGUCCAGAACUACUGGGAAGCAAUUGGAGUUAUUGCUGCUCACAAGGCAGGCAUCAAUCCAAAUGCUCUCAGAAAACAAGGAAUUGACCAUCUUAAGAGCCAUCGACGAUUGUACUCUGCCCGAUCUUCUGGUCCUAGGCCAUACGCCUCUUCUGCAACGCAGGAUAAAGUAUAUGUACACCAGUUAGUUUGA
rnacentral:rRNA from 1 species